rnacentral:rRNA from 1 species
ACAGCAGUCGCCGCGGGAAUACGAAGGGGGCUAGCGUUGCUCGGAAUGACUGGGCGUAAAGGGCGCGUAGGCGGCGUGCACAGUCAGAUGUGAAAUUCCUGGGCUUAACCUGGGGGCUGCAUUUGAUACGUGUGUGCUAGAGUGUGAAAGAGGGUCGUGGAAUUCCCAGUGUAGAGGUGAAAUUCGUAGAUAUUGGGAAGAACACCGGUGGCGAAGGCGGCGACCUGGUUCAUUACUGACGCUGAGGCGCGAAAGCGUGGGGAGCAAACAGGAUUAGAUACCCCGGUAGUCCCUGUCUCUUAUAC